rnacentral:rRNA from 1 species
GUGAGCCAGUACAGGAUGGACCCGCGUCUGAUUAGUUAGUUGGUAAGGUAACGGCUUACCAAGGCGACGAUCAGUAGCCGACCUGAGAGGGUGAUCGGCCACAUUGGAACUGAGACACGGUCCAAACGCCUACGGGAGGCAGCAGUGGGGAAUAUUGCACAAUGGGCGAAAGCCUGAUGCAGCAACGCCGCGUGAGUGAUGAAGGCCUUCGGGUCGUAAAGCUCUGUCCUCAAGGAAGAUAAUGACGGUACUUGAGGAGGAAGCCCCGGCUAACUACGUGCCAGCAGCCGCGGUAAUACGUAGGGGGCUAGCGUUAUCCGGAUUUACUGGGCGUAAAGGGUGCGUAGG